rnacentral:ribozyme from 12 species
AAACAACAACCAAAUGAAAGAAAUGCAAAAAAUACCCAUUGACAAAACACACCACCUCCCAACCCAACAGGAGAAAAAUAUGUCUCUUGCUUCUCUUCUUUGUUUUUGUUUGUUAAAUUUUU